rnacentral:lncRNA from 1 species
CAGGUCCCAACACUCAGCCUGCUGGAUGCCCCUCUCUGACAAUCCAAGCGUUCUGAGUACCUGCAGGUUUGCUAAGAAACGCCCACCAAGGCGGCGGUGGGAGGGUUGCGGCCUCUAGCCCAGAGCUCAGGGGCACUGGAGCAGCUGGUAAAGUCUAAGCCACCCGCUGCAGGCCAAAGCCGGCCACUGUCCUGUGCCUCGGGCAGCGUUCCAGGUGGUUCGGCUGUUUUCACAGAUGAGGCACUGGAACACCAGUAAGCUGGGGCGUGUGACAAUGCGGAAAUCCUCUUGUGCGUCGUUUGGUGACCCAUAUUGCGAAAACUAGCAAACGGAAGUGUGCUCUGUUGCUUCCUGAAGUCAGCCCCAGAGAGAAGUGAGCACCGGAGAAAGGGCUUGCCCCGGUGCCCCUUCCCACGCUGGGGUCCCACUGACCUCCAUCCCGAAGCAUGUGGCCCCUCGCAGCACCUGCGUCCAUGUCCGAGUUCUCAGCACACAGGAUGGACACCCCGGGCCACAGAGGCUGCAGCCAGAGCACUUUGCAGGCUGAGGCCCCAAGAACCUCCUGAACUACUCUGCUUCAAACCUGCUGGACAAGAAAGAGAUUUUCAGCGAAUCCCUUCAAUCCCCGAGAGUGGUCUUGGACGGCCAAUUGAAACCCUUGGAACUUGGCCGUCAGGGAGCCAGGCACCCUCCCUCCAGCUCAGCAACCUCACUGGGUGCCUGUGGGCAUCAGGAAGCACCCCCAACCUGGCCAUCCCUCCCCUUCCCCUUCCCCACAGAGCU